rnacentral:rRNA from 1 species
AUGAACGCUGGCGGCGUGCCUAAUACAUGCAAGUCGAGCGAACAGACGAGGAGCUUGCUCCUCUGACGUUAGCGGCGGACGGGUGAGUAACACGUGGAUAACCUACCUAUAAGACUGGGAUAACUUCGGGAAACCGGAGCUAAUACCGGAUAAUAUAUUGAACCGCAUGGUUCAAUAGUGAAAGACGGUUUUGCUGUCACUUAUAGAUGGAUCCGCGCCGCAUUAGCUAGUUGGUAAGGUAACGGCUUACCAAGGCAACGAUGCGUAGCCGACCUGAGAGGGUGAUCGGCCAAACUGGAACUGAGACACGGUCCAGACUCCUACGGGAGGCAGCAGUAGGGAAUCUUCCGCAAUGGGCGAAAGCCUGACGGAGCAACGCCGCGUGAGUGAUGAAGGUCUUCGGAUCGUAAAACUCUGUUAUUAGGGAAGAACAAAUGUGUAAGUAACUAUGCACGUCUUGACGGUACCUAAUCAGAAAGCCACGGCUAACUACGUG